AUGUGUGCCCUUCUUCUCCUUGUCUCUCUCAUUUUGGGCUGCUUUGUCUCUGCUGGUUAAUUUUCCAGCAAAAAGGUGGAAUGGAGGCAGAGCAGAAUCUCCCAGGUGGCUUUUGCAGGGCCUCAACCAAUGUUGGACAGAUUUCCAUGGGAUAAUGUUGGCUCCUUGCUCCCCCAGCCUGACUAUUCCCAGUUUGUCACAUCCUGAGGCUCCACGCCUUGCCCUGAGCACACAAAUUCCAGUAAAUCAGUGAAGGUGACUUUCCCUGACUCUCCAGGAUUUGUUGGGCAGGUACAUCCAGCAGGAACAGCAGCAGGAGUUUGUCUGGCACAGCCUUUGCCCAUCAACUUUCUUUUUUGCAGAGGACUCGGUGGUUUCCUGGCUGCUUCCAGCUUUGUCCUUGUAGGAAGGGCCAAAACACAUCAAAAAUUGGAGUUUUUCUUCCUUUCCCAGCUCCGUGCUGGUUCAGUGAUCUCAGGGAAGGGACAAAAGAAGAGGGGACAGAGGUGUCCUUGGCAAUAAGGACAUUUUGGUCUUUCUCAGGGAAACUUUGGAGAAUGGAGGAGAGUUCUGAUUUUUGGACAGCUGAUGAGGACCUGUGUGCUGUUCCCAGGGAGGGAAGCAGUGCUGGCCCCACAGGAUCCCUCUGUGGGGUUUUUCUGGCUGCCCUAAGCGCUCUGACCCCAGAGGAUUCUCAGUUACACAUCAUUUAAUCACCCCAGCUCCUGCCAGCUGCUGUCUGCUCAGAUGAGUUCCCAGCUGCUCUAAUGCCCUAGGAAGGCUGACCAGGAGGUCAGACAGAGCUAAAGAAUAAAGCAGGAUUUAUUGAGAGGCCUCAGUAGAUCCACCUUGGGCAGCACAAGAGCCCAGCCAGGGCUACACCCAAGAUGAAUCAAAACUGUCACAAAAAUGGUCAGCUUGUCACAGGGUGUCUCAUUUUUAUAAGUUCUUGUGCUCCAUUUGCAUAUUGGAGUUAAUUAUCCAAUUCCAGCUCCAGCCCAUGCAGUCCCAUCCUGCUUGUUUUCUCUCUUUGGUCCGUGCUGUUUGUGCUCUUGGGGCUGAGAUUUGGAUCACUGGUCCUUGGUCCCAGCCAGAGCAGGAAUUGUUUUGUCUCCCUGCUCUGUGCAGAGCGCUCACCAACUCCUGAUAUGAAUCCCAGACCCACACACUAAAGCAGCACAGGAUGUGAGAAUACAAAAGCCAAACCUGAGGCAUCAGUUUUGUUCUCUCCCCCACCCCAUUCCUCAUUCCCUUUUCCUCCCUGACCUGAUCCCUGUCCCAAAGGGGCCCUGUGGGACCGGGCUGGCCCCAGAGCAGGUGACAGGCAGCACGAGGAAGGGCAGAUGGGACUCGGGAAGAAAGGGAAGCUGUUCCCUGCCCAGCCCAGUGGAAAAAUGAGCCAAAGAAUCUCAGGGGACAUGUGGGAAUCCAGGGCUUCCCUCUGGCUGCCCUGGCAGGUCUGGGACCCUUCAGGGGUCAGGAACCCCCCUGGACAGAGCCCCCAGAGACACUGUCUGUGAUCUCUGUCCGUGGAAAAGAGUUUUCAAUCUUACAGGAUGAAUUACAAGCUCUGAGUGUUUGAUAUAAGUAAUAAUUAAGUGUGGCAUGGGUGCAAAAGUAAAAUUUUAGGAUUCUAGAUAAGGGGUUCAAAGGGGACAAGAUGGAGGAAAUUGGGUGUGCCUUGUCCUUUUUCUCCUUCUUCAUGCCCUCCAUGUUUCACUGUGGUGUUGGCAUUUUUCUGUUGGUUCAGGCUGGGGACACACUGUCCAACGUAGGUGACAGAUAUUGGCACGUUAUUGUAAAUCCAGCACAGGUAGUUUGUGGUAUUUAAUGUUUGUACCAUCCCACUGAGGGCAGAGCCCCACACGCUGCCCUGCAGGACAGAGCUGCGGCAGGGCAGCAGAACAUGUUAGAGAUAAACAGAAUAAACAACCUU
rnacentral:lncRNA from 1 species